AUGCCAGGUCUGAUCUGGUUGUGCGUCCUCUUGAUCCUCUCUUGCCAUGAUGGUGUUGAUGGCGUCACGGAGUUCAUAUACAAUGGGUUCGCCCGCAGCAAGCUCCACCUCGACGGUGAGGCUUCCAUCUCAAAACACGGCGUCCUCUCUCUAACGAGCAGCAGCUGCGGCGACAGCUCCUUCACCCAGGGGCAUGGUUUCCAUCCAGAAGCUCUUCCGUUUGUCAAUUCCCAUGGCGUGUCCAUGAGCUUCUCGGCCACUUUCGUGUUCUCCAUCACGCCCAGUGACUCUGACACUUCCGGCGACGGGAUGGCAUUUGUCAUCUCCUUGGCCCCGCUGUCUGGUACCUGGACAGAUGGGCAAUACUUGGGACUUGUCAAUCAGGACGACGACGGUGGCACACUUGCAAACCGUUUCUUCGCCAUCGAGCUUGACACCGUAGCCAACUGGGAGUUCAGAGAUAUAGACAACAACCAUGUCGGGAUUGAUCUCAACAACCUAACGUCCGCCGCCUCUUCAACCGCAGGGUAUUACAGCGACAAUGUCGAGAAGGACUUCCACUUCUUCAAUCCACUGAGACUUUCUAGUGGAAAGCCAAUGCAGGUUUGGGUGGACUACUAUGAGAUGCAGCUCAACGUCACGCUUGCUCCUGUCCCCAUGAAUAAGCCCUCUUCACCGCUAUUGUCUUACUACCCCAUCGAUCUUGCAAAGGUCCUCAAGAAUGACACCAAAUCAAAGGCAGGGGUUCCAACCACAGCAUACGUCGGUUUCUCUGCCUCCAGCGGUGAUUGGUGUGCCUCCCAACAAAUUUUUGGGUGGAGCUUUAACCUGUAUGGACCGGCCAAACCACUUGACUUAUCGCUGCUGCUGCCGCCAUUAAAACAAGUACAAGAUAGUUCCAGACAAGAAGCCCAUGACAAGAAAAAAGUCGUCAAAUGGGUGCCCGCAACUAUAUCUUCACUUGCCAUACUUGCAGGUAUAACAACUUGCCUUCUGUUUCGAUGGUGGUGGUGCAAGAAGAGGAUGUCAGAGAGGAAUGAAGACUGGGAGGCUGAGCUUGGGCCCCACCGCUUCGCGUACAAGGACCUCCGCCGAGCAACAAAUGGCUUCGACGACAAUCAACUCCUUGGGAAAGGCGGCUUUGGGCAAGUCUAUAGAGGAGUCCUUGGCAACUCUGGCAUGGACAUCGCAGUGAAGCGGGUCUCCUCGGAGUCGAAGCAGGGGUUGACUGAAUUCACAGCUGAGGUCAUCAUCCUUGGUCGCCUACGACACCGAAACCUUGUCCGUCUGAUCGGCUAUUGCCGGCACAAGGUCGAGCUUCUCCUCGUCUACGAGUACAUGCCCAACGGCAGCCUGGAUAGCUACAUGCACACCCAGACUAGGCACACGAUGCUCUCAUGGUGUCAAAGGCUUCACAUCAUCAGAGGCGUCGCGUGCGGGCUUCUGUACCUCCACGAGGACUGGGAGCAGGUCAUCAUACACCGUGACAUCAAGGCCAGCAACGUCCUACUUGACGGAGAGAUGAAUGGUCGGCUGGGUGACUUCGGCCUCGCGAGGCUGCACGACCAUGGUGCCGACGCGCACACCACCCAUGUGGCCGGCACGAGGGGCUACCUUGCCCCUGAGCUGACGAGGUUCAGCAAGGCGACCAAAGCAACUGACGUGUUUGCGUUUGGUGCCUUUGUGCUAGAGGUGGCUUGUGGUAGGCGUCCGGUGGGGUUCAACGCCCGCGGCGAGCUGCUGGUGCUCGUCCAAUGGGUGCGCGACACGUGGGCAAGCGGCUCCGGCUCGAUCCUCGACACCGUUGACCCAAGACUGGACGAGUAUGCUGCUGAUGAGGCGGAGCUGGUGCUCAAGCUUGGGUUGUUGUGCUCACACCCUUUACCUGUGGCGAGGCCCAGCAUCCGCCUUAUCAUGCGGUACCUUGAUGGGGAUUUACCUUUGCCCGAGUUCUCUCCUGAAUAUCUCAACAUUACAGAUGUCGAUCAGGUUCUUGAUGAAGUGCCUCCGUCAGUGGCGAACAGCAUUACAGGUCUGUCUGGAGGUAGAUGA
rnacentral:rRNA from 1 species